rnacentral:rRNA from 1 species
AGAGUUUGAUCAUGGCUCAGGACGAACGCUGGCGGCGUGCCUAACACAUGCAAGUCGAACGGACUAAUUCUUAACACUGAGUUCUUAGUAAGGAGCCAGCGAGAGCGCUCCACGCUUUAUUCAAAGUGCCACCCCUACAUACUGAGGAGAGUUUCGGACUGAGGAUUGAGUGUUAAGAAUUAGUUAGUGGCGGACGGGUGAGUAACGCGUGGAUAACCUACCUAGUAGACCGGGACAACCCUUGGAAACGAGGGCUAAUACCGGAUGAGCUUAAUUAGUGGCAUCACUGAUUAAGGAAAGAUGGCCUCUGAAGAUGCUAUCGUUAGUAGAUGGAUCCGCGUCUGAUUAGCUAGUUGGUGGGUAAAGGCCUACCAAGGCGACGAUCAGUAGCCGGCCUGAGAGGGUGAACGGCCACACUGGGACUGAGACACGGCCCAGACUCCUACGGGAGGCAGCAGUGGGGAAUCUUCCGCAAUGGACGAAAGUCUGACGGAGCAACGCCGCGUGUACGACGAAGGCUUCGGGUUGUAAAGUACUGUCUUCAGGGACGAACGGUAAGUAUGUAAAUAAUGUACUUACAUGACGGUACCUGAGGAGGAAGCCCCGGCUAACUACGUGCCAGCAGCCGCGGUAAUACGUAGGGGGCAAGCGUUGUCCGGAAUCAUUGGGCGUAAAGGGCGCGUAGGCGGAUACUUAAGUCUGGUGUGAAAACCUAGGGCUCAACCCUGGGACUGCAUCGGAAACUGGGUAUCUUGAGGACAGGAGAGGAAAGUGGAAUUCCACGUGUAGCAGUGAAAUGCGUAGAUAUGUGGAGGAACACCAGUGGCGAAGGCGACUUUCUGGACUGUAACUGACGCUGAGGCGCGAAACGUGGGGAGCAAACAGGAUUAGAUACCCUGGUAGUCCACGCCGUAAACGAUGAGUGCUAGGUGUAGAGGGUAUCGACCCCUUCUGUGCCGCAGUUAACACACUAAGCACUCCGCCUGGGGAGUACGGCCGCAAGGUUGAAACUCAAAUGAAUUGACGGGGGCCCGCACAAGCGGUGGAGCAUGUGGUUUAAUUCGACGCAACGGAAGAACCUUACCAAGGCUUGACAUCCAUAGAAUCCUGUGGAAACAUGGGAGUGCCCUUCGGGGAGCUAUGAGACAGGUGGUGCAUGGUUGUCGUCAGCUCGUGUCGUGAGAUGUUGGGUUAAGUCCCGCAACGAGCGCAACCCCUAUGUUUAGUUGCUAACGCGUAAAUGGUGAGCACUCUAGACAGACUGCCGGUGACAAACCGGAGGAAGGUGGGGAUGACGUCAAAUCAUCAUGCCCCUUAUGUCUUGGGCUACACACGUGCUACAAUGGCCAGUACAGACGGAAGCGAAGCUGUGAGGUGAAGCCAAUCCGAGAAAGCUGGUCUCAGUUCGGAUUGUUCUCUGCAACUCGAGAACAUGAAGUCGGAAUCGCUAGUAAUCGCAGGUCAGCAUACUGCGGUGAAUACGUUCCCGGGCCUUGUACACACCGCCCGU